rnacentral:rRNA from 1 species
UUAUGGCUCAGGAUGAACGCUAGCUACAGGCUUAACACAUGCAAGUCGAGGGGCAGCAUGAGAGUAGCUUGCUACUUUGAUGGCGACCGGCGCACGGGUGCGUAACACGUAUCCAAUCUACCCACGGCUCAGGGAUAGCCUUUCGAAAGAAAGAUUAAUACCUGAUGGUCUCCUUUAGGGACAUCCCUUUGGGAGUAAAGAUUCAUCGGCCAUGGAUGAGGAUGCGUCCGAUUAGCUGGACGGCGGGGUAACGGCCCACCGUGGCUACGAUCGGUAGGGGUUCUGAGAGGAAGGUCCCCCACACUGGAACUGAGACACGGUCCAGACUCCUACGGGAGGCAGCAGUGAGGAAUAUUGGUCAAUGGUCGGAAGACUGAACCAGCCAAGUAGCGUGAGGGAUGACUGCCCUAUGGGUUGUAAACCUCUUUUAUUGGGGAACAAAUUGGGCCACGUGUGGUCCUUUGCGUGUACCCUAUGAAUAAGCAUCGGCUAAUUCCGUGCCAGCAGCCGC